GCCAGCUUGGCGGGAGACACCCCUGUUCCCUUCUGACCCUUAGUUUCUUGUUCGGCCGACGCCUCUAACUUUCUUGUUACUUGUUCUGAGUCUGCCAGCAAAGGCCAUUAUCAAUCACUUUUAUUUUCCUCCUCUUUGUCCCAUCCUGCCGCCCACCGUCCCCUUGCCAGCAGGAACAGAAGCUGACUCUCGCUGAGCCCUGUGGGUGCCCGCCGAGGGGCUGAGCCCUUGCAGCCCAGCCCCCACGCUGCCCUCCCAGCCCUGCACCAUGUGACCAGCUCAGCGUGCACGCCCGUGGUCCCUGCCAGCACUGGAGAUGCUGCGUGGCCUCGAGAGGCACCUGUGCACACAGGCAUCGUGGCCCCUCCUACCGCCCCAUGUGUGGACCACACGUUGACACGAGGAAGCCCAUAGGAAGCUCGGGGAAGCGGCUCUGCAGAGGCCACCUCGUGGUUGCACAGGCCCUGGGAGACAUGAUCCUCUGCCCCCGGUGUUGGGAGCAUGGACGUGUGGCAUUGGCCUCGUGACCCUAGGCUGUCAUCUGACCUCCCUGGACGGAGGCUUCACCACCUAGGCGUGGCCCCGGUGCAGAGCUGCACGAGAGGCCCGGAGGAGACGCCGUGAGACACAGUGCUCCGUAGACCACAGGGGCUGCAAGGUGAGUGCUUGCUGUUUGAAAAUUUGAGAAUAUUCUACUCACUUUAGAGAGUCUGUCAUAAGAGACGGUCUCCGGGGAAUCUUGGAUCAGAAAUUACGUCCAUUUGCUCCUGAAGCAGUGCCUACCCUCGUCUUGUCCCUGGCCCCAAUUCUGCCAGAGGGACACAACACCCUUCUAGACUCCCGCAGUCUCAGGCACUUGGUGAGGCCUUUGCUUCCUACUCUGGGGCCACUCAGCCAUGACCAGGCGCCCCCCAUACGGAGGGGGAAGGGGAGGAAGGCACCGGCGUGUGUCUCUUCAAGACACUCGGGUCUCUCCAGGGUCCCAGGAGGCCAGUGGGAAAGCUAGAGGCUGGUGGCCUCAGCCAGCCCCUGGGAAGACUUGCAGGGAGCCACGGGGUCCCCGCCCCGAAGUGGCCAGGGGCCAGGGAAGGCUUUGGGGAGGAGAACGCUGGGGCUUAGACUGAUGGCUGAGUGGGAGUCAGCGAGGUUCUCUCUCUGCCCAGAUCAUGACGUCAUGGCGUGUGGGGACCAGGUGCCUGCGGGGCUCUAGGUCGUCCUGCGUAGACGCUGGCCCUGGUGUGUGCAGACAGACCCAGCAGCCUGUGUGAGACACUCCAAACGGGCCGUGCUCCCUGGAGAGCGUGCGUCUGUGGGCCGGCACGGACCCUGAGAGCAGGCCUGGGAACCACCCUGCGCUUUGCGGAGGACGAGGUCCCCGGGCUUUACGCUGUGGCUGGACUCAGCCGACGGACACCUGCUCUUGCCGUAGGGGCUCCGUCGGCCGGGGGUGCGGUGGGGGCCGCGUCCACACUGUCUCCCCAGCCCCAGAACAGCAAGGCGCUCCCUGUGGAACCUGCGGCUCUACGUGGGGACAUGACAAAUGACCAAAAAAUCAAUUUGUAAUCUGAUUGGAGGUUUUUGAUUUCCUCUGAUGAGUUUAAAUUUCAUUAAAAGCAACCUUAUUCCAACAUAAAAGGAAUCCUUGAAGGGUAAAACAGGGGAUUGUCUCACCGAGUAUAAAGCAUCCCAACUCUUUUGUGUGAUUUAUUCAUGGCAUUAAUUGGGAGGGCCAACCUGUGGUGUCCGUUGGCAGCUGCGCCCUUAUCAGGGGCUGGGAUCGGCCCGGCCAGCUCAAAGCACAAGGACUCACAUUCAAACACCCCUCUUUGGCAUAUUGACACUUCAGUUAUCAACAGCCCUUUUCAUCUGCUGGGAGGGAGAUCGCAGCUCUCGGGGCCAGAGCGAGCCACAAAUCACCGCGCUGCCCCUGCAUUCUCUUAAUUGUAUGUAUUCUCUGGAAAAAUGAUCAUUGUGGCCUCUUGUCUUGAUGAGAAAUUGACAUUUCUGAGGACUUCUUUGGGCGCUGCAAGCCCGGGAGAUAAGGCCCGGCGUUGUUUUAAAGGAGGGCAGCCUUUCUUCCCUUCCCGGGCCGCCCACUGCCCUCGUUGGCCCACUUGAUGAGUAUGGAUUUCAUGAGGUCUUUUUCAGCAUUUGAACUAUAAAAAGGUUCAGAACGACACCACCCCUUAUAGACAAAAGAUAACCUUGCCCUUUGAAUAUAUUGAUUCUUUAUUAACUAGGCUGUUUAAUGCAAUGAAAUGAGGCAUUAGAUUGAAGCCCAUUUCAAGUGCUUUGAAUAAUCUUUAAAAGCUUUGAAAGACCUUAAAAGGCGGCCUGACCGGGAGUGGCACACACGCUGAAAGAACACAGCCCCUGCUUCGCAUUGCAGGCGCAAACGGGGCACGACGUCCCUGUUCCCAGGUGACCGCCAGCUGGGCAUUCCUGGCACCGGUUCCGAGUGGGAAGGGGGUGACUUGUGGGGCGACGCCCUCUCCGGCCCCAGCCUCCAGCAACCUGGGAGGGGCCGGGCAGCGGGCGGGCUGCAGGUUUGCAGCCACGAGCUCCUUCUGCUGUCUCUUUACAGCUGAAAUAAGGACCUGAUUGUCACUGGCAGGAGAAAAAGGUAUUCACAAGUUUCUUUAUGUUUUGAAUAAUUGUUUCCUGUUUUGCCGCCGCAGAACGAGUAAUUAAGAUGACAUUUGUGAGUACUAAUUUGGAUCACACUUACACGUAAGUGUUAGGGAGCUGCAAGCCAAAACACGCAGACCCGGCCUUUCAUUGAGGAGAAAAUGAGAAGCGCCGGGUGGGAGGGAACGGGAGCCAGGGCCCCCACAGGAGCCGAGCGGCCUCGGCGUCAGAGCGCCCCGGUGCUGGCUCGUCAUGGGCAGUGCAAUCGGCUGCACUUAGGCACAGAUGACAGUGGCCGGGGCAGGGCUUGGGGUCCGUUGUGCCAGUGAGGUGGAUGGACGUGGAAUGGUGUCCCUCACGUCCGACCUCAGCCAGCACUGGUCUGGGUGCCCCCCCGCCCACCUGCAGACGUUGCUGCUGCACGUCCCUGACCUGGUUCUCACCCAGGCGACACAACAGUGAUACAAAAGGAGUGUGUUAGAGGGGGCCGGACCUGCCAAACCCUCCAGUUCAGGGGCAGGAAGGGCUGGGGGCAGCAGGGUCAUAGAGCACCCCCCCCCAUGAGACUUGGGGUUGUUUGCACACUCAGACACCAGUGUUUGAACCAUGAUUGUGCCACCCCAGCGUGGCUGUGGCCCCCGAAUGUCUGAGACACAGAAACAUCGUGCAGAGCACAACACAUGUAUGCGUGCAGAGCACAACACAUGUAUGCGUGCAGAGCACAACACAUGUAUAGACGGUGCCUCUGUGAUCAGAACCAUCCACGCAGUGACUUGGCGUGUUUCUGCCUGCAGGUGUGAUGACUGCGGGCUGACACCUUCGUGGGAGGUUCCCCUACAGGUCAUUUUCAUAUCGCCCCAGACACGGCUUCGGAACCCAGGAUGUGCAAACGAACCCUCCCCCCACCGUGGAACUCUCUGGGCACACUAUCUGGAGGAGGCCAUUCCAGUUUGAAAAGUACAGACAGUGCUGUUGGAUCUGACCACAAAAAAAAAAAAAAAA